rnacentral:lncRNA from 1 species
AGACACUGUGCUUGCUAAAAGGCAGUGUCAUAAGAUGGAGACCCCACAGCAUCCCAGAAAAACAGCUGUUUUGUGAAGACAAAUUUCCUGGUUAAUGCAUACAAACAGUCAAAUGCCUAGGAUACCAUGCCGUCCACACUGACACACUUCUGUUCUCACAUCAAGUGCUCUUUAAUGAUCUCCAAGCCUUUCCUACUAACACCUCCAGACCUCACUUCCUCUCACUACAGGAACAUUGCUGGUGACGAAUGGGUGUGAGGCAUGGUUUUUUAUCUCUGAGAAGCUUGAGUAAGCAGCCCUGUGAGUGAACAAAUGACAUCACCUGAAGAAGUGGGUGUAAUGAUGAGGAAAGCAGAGGGAUACCAAAGAGCAGAGGAAUGAAAGCUACUGUCCUAGAAAGCUCUCCAGAACUGCACUCACUCUGAGGCAGAUGCUCCACAAACAGCAGUGCCUGUACCGGCUUCAUCUCAAUUGGCAGUUGCACCCAGUAGCAUGCUUGGCUUGAGCACCAUUACCCACAUCCUUGCGCCUUUG